GUGAAUCAUCGAAUUUUUGAACGCAAAUUGCACUCUCUUCGGAGAGUAUGCCUGUUUGAGGGUCAGCCUAAAAAAAAUCGACAUAGUCGCUGUUUCGCGGUGACAUUCGUCGGAAAUUGGGUCAUCUUAACUCUUUUUUUUAAGAGACCUAAAAUUAACAUUCUUUUUUGCUCACUUUUGAGACGUACAUAAUUUUUUUUUAUUCGUCUACCCUGGUGGCAAAAAUUUUAUUAGAUCGUGAAUCACGUAGAGUGGACUCGCGUCUAUAAUUAUCAUGAUUUGACCUCAAAUCAGGUAAGAA
rnacentral:misc_RNA from 1 species